GCCGCUAUAGCCUAGUGGCUAGAGCGUUGGUCUUGUAAACCAAAGGUCGUCUGAAUCUUGUUGGCGGCA